UACGAAGGGGGCUAGCGUUGUUCGGAUUUACUGGGCGUAAAGCGCACGUAGGCGGCUUUGUAAGUCAGGGGUGAAAUCCCGGGGCUCAACCCCGGAACUGCCCUUUGAUACUGGGUAUCUCGAGUCCGAGAGAGGUGAGUGGAAUUCCGAGUGUAGAGGUGAAAUUCGUAGAUAUUCGGAGGAACACCAGUGGCGAAGGCGGCUCACUGGCUCGGUACUGACGCUGAGGUGCGAAAGCGUGGGGAGCAAACAGG
rnacentral:rRNA from 1 species